rnacentral:rRNA from 1 species
UACGGCUCAGUAACACGUAGUCAACCUACCCUAUGGACGGGAAUAACCUCGGGAAACUGAGUAUAAUGCCCGAUAGAACACUAUACCUGGAAUGGUUUGUGUUCCAAAUGAUUUAUCGCCAUAGGAUGGGACUGCGGCCUAUCAGUUUGUUGGUGAGGUAAUGGCCCACCAAGACUAUUACAGGUACGGGCUCUGAGAGGAGUGGCCCGGAGAUGGGUACUGAGACACGGACCCAGGCCCUAUGGGGCGCAGCAGGCGAGAAAACUUUGCAAUGUGCGAAAGCACGACAAGGUUAAUCCGAGUGGUUUCUGCUAAAGGAACCUUUUGACAGUCCUAGAAACACUGUUGAAUAAGGGGUGGGCAAGUUCUGGUGUCAGCCGCCGCGGUAAAACCAGCACCUCAAGUGGUCAGGAUGAUUAUUGGGCCUAAAGCAUCCGUAGCCGGCUCUGUAAGUUUUCGGUUAAAUCUGUACGCUUAACGUACAGGCUGCUGGGAAUACUGCAGAGCUAGGGAGCGGGAGAGGUAGACGGUACUCGGGAGGAAGUGGUAAAAUGCUUUGAUCUCUCGAUGACCACCUGUGGCGAAGGCGGUCUACCAGAACACGUCCGACGGUGAGGGAUGAAAGCUGGGGGAGCAAACCGGAUUAGAUACCCGGGUAGUCCCAGCUGUAAACUAUGCAAACUCAGUGAUGCACUGGCUUGUGGCCAGUGCAGUGUUGCAGGGAAGCCGUUAAGUUUGCCGCCUGGGAAGUACGUACGCAAGUAUGAAACUUAAAGGAAUUGGCGGA